rnacentral:sRNA from 1 species
GCGAUGAGCUGAAUUGUGUAAGCCGAUGGACAUGCCUUUGCGGGCGCACACGAAUGUGGCGUGUGGUACAUCGCCUCAAUACGCAAAAGACGUUUGCUUUCGGGCAAACGUC